rnacentral:rRNA from 1 species
AUGGAUAGGCAAAGCACAUCAUCUCCGGUCUACAACAACGACGACGAGUUCGAUGCUAUGAAGAACUUCAUCGACACCAAGAUGGAAAAGCGCAUGCAGGAGCUCAAGGCCCUCAUCAAGAACCGCAAGUGGUCUUCCUCAUCUUCGAGAAGACGCUCAAGUGCAAAGAAUCCCGAGCUACCAUCUCCGGCAAGUACACACAAGCAUCAACAUCGACAGGACCAUGAAGAGCGACGUUCUGGACGAGAGUUGGCUUCUCUACCAACCCCGUCCACACGGGCCCUCGACCCCCGUGCACACGGCCUCCUGCACCCCCGUGCAGACGGGCUCUACAGAACCGUGACAUCAACUAUAAGACUACGGCUUCUUCAACACCUUUGGCAUCUUUGCCAAGUGACUUCAAGGCAUCUUCGCCUUCGGACGUACGACAUCUUCGCCUACUCCGCGAGCUCAAGUCCACUACUCCCUCGAGCUACUACGACCUCGACAUCGACCAUGCAAUUCCUUUCUAUGGGACUCAAGAACCCGAGGAGUACCUCGAGUGGGAGCGUUUGA